rnacentral:rRNA from 1 species
UGGGGAAUUUUGGACAAUGGGCGAAAGCCUGAUCCAGCAAUGCCGCGUGUGUGAAGAAGGCCUUCGGGUUGUAAACCGCUUUUGUCAGGGAAGAAAUCUUCUGAGUUAAUACCUCGGGAGGAUGACGGUACCUGAAGAAUAAGCACCGGCUAACUACGUGCCAGCAGCCGCGGUAAUACGUAGGGUGCAAGCGUUAAUCGGAAUUACUGGGCGUAAAGCGUGCGCAGGCGGUUUUGUAAGACAGAGGUGAAAUCCCCGGGCUCAACCUGGGAACUGCCUUUGUGACUGCAAGGCUUGAGUGCGGCAGAGGGGGAUGGAAUUCCGCGUGUAGCAGUGAAAUGCGUAGAUAUGCGGAGGAACACCGAUGGCGAAGGCAAUCCCCUGGGCCUGCACUGACGCUCAUGCACGAAAGCGUGGGGAGCAAACAGGAUUAGAUACCCUGGUAGUCCACGCCCUAAACGAUGUCAACUGGUUGUUGGGAAGGUUCCUUCUCAGUAACGUAGCUAACGCGUGAAGUUGACCGCCUGGGGAGUACGGCCGCAAGGUUGAAACUUAAAGGAAUUGACGGGGGUCA